rfam:Bacillus coagulans 36D1, complete genome.
UCCGGUGAUGAUGGCGGAAAGGUCACACCCGAACACAUCCCGAACUCGGAAGUUAAGCUUUCCAGCGCUGAUGGUAGUUGGGGGUCUCCCCCUGCGAGAGUAGGACGUUGCCGGGC